AUUGAACGCUGGCGGCAUGCUUUACACAUGCAAGUCGAACGAUGAAGCCUAGCUUGCUAGGCGGAUUAGUGGCGAACGGGUGAGUAAUACAUCGGAACGUACCCUGUAGUGGGGGAUAACUACUCGAAAGAGUGGCUAAUACCGCAUACAACCUGAGGGUACAAGUGGGGGACCGCAAGGCCUCACGCUAUAGGAGCGGCCGAUGGAAGAUUAGGUAGUUGGUGGGGUAAAGGCUCACCAAGCCGACGAUCUUUAGCGGUUCUGAGAGGACGAUCGGCCACGCAGGGACUGAGACACGGCCCAGACCCCUCCGGGAGGCAGCAGUGGGGAAUUUUGGAAAAUGAGCGAAAGCCUGAUCCAGCAAUGCCGCGUGAGUAAAGAAGGCCUUCGGGUUGUAAAGCUCUUUUGUUUGGGAGGAAAUCCUAAAGAAUAAUACUCGUUGGGGAUGACGGUACCAAAAGAAUAAGCACCGGCUAACGACGUGCCAGCAGCCACCGUAAUAC
rnacentral:rRNA from 1 species